UACGUAGAGGGCGAGCGUUGUCCGGAAUCAUUGGGCGUAAAGCGCGUGUAGGCGGCCCGGUAAGUCCGCUGUGAAAGUCCAGGGCUCAACCCUGGGAUGCCGGUGGAUACUGUCGGGCUCGAGUCCGGAAGAGGCGAGUGGAAUUCCUGGUGUAGCGGUGAAAUGCGCAGAUAUCAGGAGGAACACCAAUGGCGAAGGCAGCUCGCUGGGACGUGACUGACGCUGAGACGCGAAAGCGUGGGGAGCAAACAGG
rnacentral:rRNA from 1 species